UUCCCGGGCCUUGUACACACCGCCCGUCACACCACGAAAGUUGGCAAUACCCGAAGCCGGUGGCCUAACCCGCAAGGGAGGGAGCCGUCGAAGGUGGGGUCGAUGAUUGGGGUG
rnacentral:rRNA from 1 species